rnacentral:rRNA from 1 species
ACUGAAUAGAUACCCUGGUAGUCCCAGCUGUAAACGAUGCAGGCUAGGUGUUUGGACGGCCACGUGCCGUUCUAGUGCCGCAGGGAAGCUGUUAAGCCUGCCGCCUGGGGAGUACGAUCGCAAGAUUGAAACUUAAAGGAAUUGGCGGGGAGCACCACAAGGGGUGAAAGCUUGCGGUUUAAUUGGAGUCAACGCCGGAAAUCUCACCGGGAGCGACAGCAGUAUGAAAGCCAGAUUAAAGGUCUUGCUAGACGAGCUGAGAGGAGGUGCAUGGCCGUCGCCAGUUCGUGCCGUGAGGUGUCCUGUUAAGUCAGGCAACGAUCGAGACCCGCGUCCUCUGUUGCAGCCAGUUUUGUGCUGGGCACACUGAGGAGACCGCCACUGAUAAAGUGGAGGAAGGAGCGGGCCACGGCAGGUCAGUAUGCCCCGAAUCUCCCGGGGCCACACGCGAGCUGCAAUGGCAGGUACAAUGGGUUCCGACCUCGAAAGGGGAAGGCAAUCUCGAAAGCCUGCCGUAGUUGGAAUC